CAUAAACUUUCGCGGUUGGAGGUGGUUUUCUUGAACUUCCUAUAUAUAAGCAAAGUUCGAAUACAGAUCUGCAAAGGAUGUUUAUUUUUUCCAUCCGUAUAUAUAGGACAAGGAUGUGGCGUUGGAGAUGCUCUUAGUAAGCACUUCUUGACAAGAAAUCUUCAAUCAAAACCAAUUAUGCAGAGAAGGAAUCACAAUUUUAACUCUCACUGUUUGUGGAAAUGCCAGCAGAAAUGAGUCAAGUGUGUAUAAAGAGUUGUAGUUCACUGCCACAGGGGUGUUUUCUCUUCUGUUAUUAUCAAUGACCAAAUAAAGGUGGACGAAGUUAUGGAUGUUUCGACUUUCAACCAGUGAUGAAUUGGAUGUACCCACCUUCGGAGAUAAACCGGUGAUGGAAAUUGCAAAGCAGCAUGGAGGUUAUUUUCUACAGGUCCAUUUUUAAAAUUUGUAAUUACUAUCUUUUAAAUGAAUCUCUACUCUUAUGGAAGAGAGCGAGGGUAGAAGACUACAAUCUGUUAUGUUUCAUGGAAGAGGAUGAGGGUUUAUUCUUGCAACCUCACCUGGUACUGUUUCCCAUUCAGGUGUCCCUUUUCAGCUUUUGGGUGUUGAAAUCUCUUCCUAUCAGUAAAGCAUUUAGUCUGAACUUGAGUUUUCAAGGCAGCUGUUAGCAUAUAUAGAUACUGACAGAGCAAGCUGAAGUCUCUACAUGAUAUGAUCACGUGAAUUACUGGGUGAAUAUCAAAGUUUUCGUUGGGUGUGGCACAUCAACUGAACUGUUGGGGUGGUCUCAGUCGCAUAAUCCAUCACUAGGAAAUUUGUUGGUUGUCAUUGUAGGAAUUACUCUGGGAAUGUUCUUGGAAAUCUUUAAUUUCCCUCCUUACAAAGGAUUUUCAUGAAAGAUAAUGCCCAGUUUUAGAGUUCAAACUUCAUGAAUAGGGUAAAGAACAAAAGCUCAAGUGAUGCACACAGGGAGAAACUGAAAAUGCUAGAAAUGCUAUUGGAGCCAAAACAAACAUGAGCAAGAGAUCAAGCUUUGGUAAUACUUCUGUUGAUGACGCGGUCUGCACUACAGGUGAAACAGGGUGCAACAGCGAUGAAAUUCACAGCCUAUGAAACAGGGUGCAACUCAAUUAACAUGACUUGAGUUGAUAAAUUCACACAUCUCCAGACUUACAACAGCAAUUUGCGCACCUUAUAUGAUCAAGCAAACUUAACAGGCAACUUAGCAUUGGCUCACAGCUCAGACAAUGGACAAAUGUUCACCCAAACCAAAAGACUAUACUCCCGGUGCGUAGCACGGGUUACUAUCUAGUUUCUGCAUGGAUUAUUAGGCGUUGGCGUUGGCGUUGGAUAUUAGCGCUUUUGGCAAGUAUGCUCUAUGUAAUCAAUUUCAUUGAGGCCGUCUACUCGAUUAAGUAUUCUCAGAAUAAGUAGGAGAAGAAAGUUGCGCGUCUUUUUGUGUUUAAUAUCCGUAUUAAACAAUCAGAUACUUUGUUGGAGAGCUGCAAGUUUGGUUUGGUGGAUUCCGUCUUUCCGAAUUUGAUCUGUUUGUGAGAUAUAAUCCGGUUGUUUGCAGCCUUUACUCAAGCCUUGAUGACUUUCAUGGGUUUUCUCAUCAAGAAGAGCUUGGGCCUUAUGGCUUGGCCGGUGUAUGUCUAGCAGGGGAAUUUAUUAAGAAUGAAUUUAUUAAGAAUAGUGUUUUUUUUUUGUUUUUUUUUUG